CCUUGUCCCAUCGCGCACUAGCAACUCCUGUGGCAGGCUGGGCGCAGUGCACACUGACACAGUGUUUUGGAGGACGCACAGCUCUCAACCUUCUCCUCUCCCGAGUCUGUACGGGAGUUGCAGCGAUGAGACAAAACUGUACCAGUUGGGAGAAAACGGGGUAAAAGAAAAAGAGGUACGUGUCGUCGGGCUGUCUUCCUUCAGGAAUCUGUGGAGAAAAUUGCUGCCCAACAUUUCAAGCACUAAGCCCAGGACAGACCUGUGCUGGCAGUGCCAGAGGAACAACUAUCAGGUCGUCAAAUCUGCCAAUCUGCCAGAAGCUGUUAAGUCAGCCGAACUGAAGAAGCAAGAGCAGCAUCUCCUGCUUGUUCAGAGUGAGCGGUCUGUAUACUAGAAGAUGGUUGCUGACUGCAAGACCUGUCAAGACCUGUAGUUGUCUCUGGGGGCCCCAACUGAACCAGCAAGCAAAGACAUCAGGAUGCAUUACAGCUUUGGAUUUGCUCAACAAGUGCACUAUCCUUCUGACCCUAUGCAGCCAGAUCCCAAUCGAUUUUUUUAACUCCUCACAAGUGUGGCUUGUUUGGUGUCUGCUGUGAAGGCAUGCUGUACCUCAACAAGUCAACUACUUGAUUGAUGAAGACAUGUCAUCCAGCAAAGGCAGCAGCGCAGUCAUCAACUACAUGCACCAUUUCUUCACCAAAUGUGGAGUUCGGGAAACACGUGUGGACCUGAAUUGGGAUAACUGCAGUGGCCAAAACAAGAACAAGUUUGUGCUCUGGUAUUGUGCCUGGCAGACCAUGCACAAGCUCCACCACAGUCUGAAUCUUCACUUCCUGAUCACAGGCCACACCAAGUUUGCCCCCGACUGGUGCUUCGGCCUCAUCAAGCAACGCUUCAGAAAGACCAAAGUGAACACUGUCUGAGAUUGCUGUUGUUGUGAAUGACAGCACUGUGACAGGUCAACAUCUCACAGCUGGUUGGACUGGAGGAUUGUACGGUGUUGGUGGAAAGCUAUGGCUGGCAACAACUCCGUACUUCAGGCCGCUGCCACAGAUCAAGCAGUACCAGCACUUCAGGGGAAUGUCAUUUUCAUUGCAUUGUAUGAGGUUAUUCUUCUUAUCUAAACUUGGGAGGUGGAUUGAUGUUGUGCAAGGUUGUAAUGUCAUCUAAAUUUUUUUCAUUUUAUUUUCUGUUUUACAGCUUCAAAGCUCUGGAGCCUGGUGUUGUCACCAAGGAGCAUUCAGACUCAGUAGGGACCAGGUUUCAGCUGCUGCGCAAUUCUGACAGGGAGUUUUGCAACGAAGAGGCUAUGGACAUCACAUGCCCUGCACCAAAGGCAAGGGCAGGACAGAAACAAGCUCUCCAAAUAUUUACAUUUUAGUCAUUUAGCAGACGCUCUUAUCCAGAGCGACUUACAGUAGUGAAUGCAUACAUUUCAUACAUUUUUUGUUUGUUGUACUGGCCCC
rnacentral:lncRNA from 1 species